rnacentral:rRNA from 1 species
GAAUCCGGGGUCUCUGGCCUGUAAGUCACCCCCUUCCAGUAUCCAGUAGUGGGUAUUCAGUUACUUACUAUUGUGUGUUGGUCGUUUACUGUGAGAAAAUUAGAGUGUUCAAAGCAGGCGUUUGCUUGAAUAGAUUAGCAUGGAAUAAUAAUUGAAGGCUUUCGUGUUCGAUUUGAUUGGUUUGUUCAUGGAAGCAAGGUUAAAAGGAACAGUUGGGGGUAUUCAUAUUCACUAGUUAGAGGUGAAAUUCUCGGAUUUAUGGAAGAUGAACAAGUGCGAAAGCAUUUACCAAGGAUGUUUUCAUUAAUCAAGAACGAAAGCUAGGGGAUCGAAGAGGAUUAGAUACCCUCGUAGUCUUAGCUAUAAACGAUACCGACUAGGGGUUAGUAGAGGUCAAGUGUCUUUAUUAGUACCUUAUGA